CGGGAUAGCUCAGCUGGUAGAGCAGAGGACUGAAAAUCCUCGU
rnacentral:tRNA from 1 species